rnacentral:rRNA from 1 species
UACGUAGGUGGCAAGCGUUAUCCGGAAUUAUUGGGCGUAAAGGGUGCGUAGGUGGCAUGUUAAGUCUGGUGUAAAAGGCAAUAGCUCAACUAUUGUAUGCAUUGGAAACUGGCAAGCUAGAGUGUGUGAGAGGUAAGUGGAAUUCCAAGUGUAGCGGUGGAAUGCGUAGAUAUUUGGAGGAACACCAGUGGCGAAGGCGGCUUACUGGCACACAACUGACACUGAGGCACGACAGCGUGGGGAGCAAAUAGG